AGUCCAGUCCGAGGGGCCUGUCUCAUCCCCUUCCCCAUCCCCACCCUCGAGUUCAAUGGAGAAAACAGGACCACUGCCUUAGAGGUCUCAAAGAGGGUCAAGGAUUUAUUGUUCACUGCCUUCACCAGCGAGCACAAAGCCACAUUUCAAAGGAGACUGACAAAUUAGCCCCAGCUGCCAGAAAGAGGUUAGUUUUCUCUGUGUUGUGUCCCCCUUCCCUGAUAACCAACAGGUUAACUUUCU
rnacentral:lncRNA from 1 species